UAUUCAUAUGGCUGGACCAUCUUGCCAUUGCCACAAUGUCUGAUGAUCAAACAGGCUUUAAAAUCAGGUUACAAUGCAUGCUUGAAAAUAUGCAACAAUUUCACUGCUAAUAAUAUUCCAGAAAAUCCUUCCUCUUGGGCAGAUCUGGACUGAUUUGUCAGAAAGGGAUUGGAGUUUUUCUACUUGUGAUUGGGCAAGGGGAGCUAAGCCAAGGGUGCUGAGUCAGAGUCAAACUCAUGUGAACAGCUUCUAAGUCC